GAUGAACGCUGGCGGUGUGCCUAAUACAUGCAAGUCGAGCGAACAGACGAGGAGCUUACUCCUCUGACGUUAGCGGCGGACGGGUGAGUAACACGUGGAUAACCUACCUAUAAGACUGGGAUAACUUCGGGAAACCGGAGCUAAUACCGGAUAACAUGUUGAACCGCAUGGUUCAACAGUGAAAGACGGUCUUGCUGUCACUUAUAGGUGUAUCCGCGUCGCAUUAGCUAGUUGGUAAGGUAACGGCUUACCAAGGCAACGAUGCGUAGCCGACCUGAGAGGGCGACCGGCCACCCUGGAACUGAGACACGGUCCAGACUCCUACGGGAGGCAGCAGUAGGGAAUCUUCCGCAAUGGGCGCAAGCCUGACGCAGCAACGCCGCGUGAGUGAAGAAGGUCUUCGGAUCGUAAAACUCUGUUAUUAGGGAAGAACAACUGUGUACGUAACUAUGCACGUCUUGACGGUACCUAAUCAGAAAGCCACGGCUAACUACGUG
rnacentral:rRNA from 1 species